rnacentral:sRNA from 1 species
AAAAAAAGAAGGAAAAAAAAA